GGUUAAGUUAUUAAGGGCGCAUGGUGGAUGCCUUGGCACUAGGAGCCGAUGAAGGACGGGACUAACACCGAUAUGCUUCGGGGAGCUGUAAGUAAGCUUUGAUCCGGAGAUUUCCGAAUGGGGGAACCCAACUUGUUAUGCAAGUUAUCACCUAAUGAAUAUAUAGUUAGGUUGAAGGUAGACGUUGUGAACUGAAACAUCUCAUUAGCAACAGGAAUAGAAAGAAAAAUCGAUACCGUCAGUAGCGGCGAG
rnacentral:rRNA from 1 species